GACGAACGCUGGCGGCGUGCUUAACACAUGCAAGUCGAACGGAAAGGCCCUGCUUUUGUGGGGUGCUCGAGUGGCGAACGGGUGAGUAACACGUGAGUAACCUGCCCUUGACUUUGGGAUAACUUCAGGAAACUGGGGCUAAUACCGGAUAGGAGCUCCUGCUGCAUGGUGGGGGUUGGAAAGUUUCGGCGGUUGGGGAUGGACUCGCGGCUUAUCAGCUUGUUGGUGGGGUAGUGGCUUACCAAGGCUUUGACGGGUAGCCGGCCUGAGAGGGUGACCGGCCACAUUGGGACUGAGAUACGGCCCAGACUCCUACGGGAGGCAGCAGUGGGGAAUAUUGCACAAUGGACGGAAGCCUGAUGCAGCAACGCCGCGUGCGGGAUGACGGCCUUCGGGCUGUAAACCGCUUUCGCCUGUGACGAAGCGUGAGUGACGGUAAUGGGUAAAGAAGCACCGGCUAACUACGUG
rnacentral:rRNA from 1 species